UUAGUCGUAUUUUAAAUUAACAUAAUUUCUUGAGAAUUGCCUUAGAAAAAAGUUAAUAAGUAUUUGUGUUAACAUGUGAAGAAGAAAUGAAUAAUAAAUAUUAAUUUAUUUUAAAUAUAUUUACAAAUAUGAUACAAACGCAAGGCUAUCAGUGUAUCUAUCCUUUAUUUGGAGCAGAUACGCUAUUAAUGAUGAUUUGGUGCAGACAACAUCCAAAAAACAAGUGACCAUGCAUUGAACUGCAAUCUACAUUUCUACAUAAUUUCCUAUUUAUUUAAUUCAAACAAUAAAUAUACUAAAAAAUG